rnacentral:rRNA from 1 species
GACGAACGCUGGCGGCGUGCCUAAUACAUGCAAGUCGAGCGAAGUUUUUCUGGUGCUUGCACUAGAAAAACUUAGCGGCGAACGGGUGAGUAACACGUAAAGAACCUGCCUCAUAGACUGGGACAACUGUUGGAAACGAUAGCUAAUACCGGAUAACAGUAUUUCUCGCAUGGGAGAUAUUUAAAAGUUGGUUAUGCUAACACUAUGAGAUGGCUUUGCGGUGCAUUAGCUAGUUGGUGGGGUAAAGGCCCACCAAGGCGACGAUGCAUAGCCGACCUGAGAGGGUGAUCGGCCACACUGGGACUGAGACACGGCCCAGACUCCUACGGGAGGCAGCAGUAGGGAAUCUUCCGCAAUGGGCGAAAGCCUGACGGAGCAACGCCGCGUGAGUGAAGAAGGAUUUCGGUUCGUAAAGCUCUGUUGUUAGGGAAGAAUGGAUAUGUAGUAACUAUACAUGUAAGAGACGGUACCUAACCAGAAAGCCACGGCUAACUACGUG